AGCCAGCAGCCGCGGUAAUACGUAGGUGGCAAGCGUUGUCCGGAUUUACUGGGCGUAAAGGAUGCGUAGGUGGAUAUUUAAGUGGGAUGUGAAAUACCCGGGCUUAACCUGGGUGCUGCAUUCCAAACUGGAUGUCUAGAGUGCAGGAGAGGUAAGUGGAAUUCCUAGUGUAGCGGUGAAAUGCGUAGAGAUUAGGAAGAACACCAGUGGCGAAGGCGACUUACUGGACUGUAACUGACACUGAGGCAUGAAAGCGUGGGGAGCAAACAGGAUUAGAUACCCUGGUAGUCCACGCCGUAAACGAUGGGUACUAGGUGUGGGGGUUGUCAUGACUUCCGUGCCGCCGUUAACACAAUAAGUACCCCGCCUGGGGAGUACGGUCGCAAGAUUAAAACUUAAAGGAAUUGGCGGGGGAU
rnacentral:rRNA from 1 species